AUUGAACGCUGGCGGCAGGCCUAACACAUGCAAGUCGAACGAGUGGCGGACGGGUGUGUAAUGUCUGGGAAACUGCCUGAUGGAGGGGGAUAACUACUGGAAACGGUAGCUAAUACCGCAUACCAUCAGAUGUUCCCAGAUGGGAGUAGCUAGUGGGUGGGGUAACGGGUCACAAAGGCGACGAUCCCUAGCUGCUCUGAGAGGAUGACAAGCAAAACUGGAACUGCGAAACGGUCCAGACUCCUACGGGAGGCAGCAGUGGGGAAUAUUGAACAAUGGGCGCAAGCCUGAUGCAGCCAUGCCGCGUGUAUGAAGAAGGCCUUCGGGUUGUAAAGUACUUUAAGCGGGGAGGCGUUACCCGCAGAAGAAGCACCGGCUAACUCCGUGCCAGCAGCCGCGGUAAUAC
rnacentral:rRNA from 1 species